rnacentral:rRNA from 1 species
UACGUAGGGUGCAAGCGUUAAUCGGAAUUACUGGGCGUAAAGCGUGCGCAGGCGGUCUGUCAAGACCGAUGUGAAAUCCCCGGGCUUAACCUGGGAAUGGCAUUUGGGACUGCAAGGCUUGAGUGCGGCAGAGGAGACUGGAAUUCCUGGUGUAGCAGUGAAAUGCGUAGAUAUCAGGAGGAAUACCGAUGGCGAAGGCAGGUCUCUGGGCUGACACUGACGCUCAUGCACGAAAGCGUGGGGAGCAAACAGG